UCCGAGUUGACCCCGGCAGUCUCCUACGAGUCCCCGCCAUUACGCGCUGGCAACAUAGGAUAAGGGUUGCGCUCGUUGCGGGACUUAACCCAACAUCUCACGACACGAGCUGACAACAGCCAUGCACCACCUGUGUAGGGCCCCGAAGGACACCACAUCUCUGUGGCUUUUCCCUACAUGUCAAGCCCAGGUAAGGUUCUUCGCGUUGCAUCGAAUUAAGCAACAUGCUCCGCCGCUUGUGCGGGCCCCCGUCAAUUCCUUUGAGUUUUAGCCUUGCGGCCGUACUCCCCAGGCGGGGCACUUAAUGCGUUAGCUGCGGCGCAGAGGACGUUGAUAAUCCCCCACACCUAGUGCCCAACGUUUACGGCGUGGACUAC
rnacentral:misc_RNA from 1 species